rnacentral:rRNA from 1 species
CCUACGGGUGGCUGCAGUGGGGAAUAUUGCACAAUGGGCGAAAGCCUGAUGCAGCAACGCCGCGUGAGCGAUGAAGGCCUUCGGGUCGUAAAGCCCUGUCCUAAGGGAAGAAUAUUGACGGUACCUUAGGAGGAAGCCCCGGCUAACUACGUGCCAGCAGCCGCGGUAAUACGUAGGGGGCUAGCGUUAUCCGGAAUUACUGGGCGUAAAGGGUGCGUAGGCGGCCCUUCAAGUCAGAGGUGAAAGGCUACGGCUCAACCGUAGUAAGCCUUGGAAACUGUAGGGCUGGAGUGUAGGCGAGGAUAGUGGAAGUCCCAGUGUAGCGGUGAAAUGCGUAAGUAUUGGGGGGAUGGACAGUAGCAAAGAAGGCUCUAUGGAGUGUAACUGACGCUGAGGCACGAGAGCGUGGGGAGCGAACAGGAUUAGAUACCCUGGUAGUC